rnacentral:lncRNA from 1 species
CCAUCACUUCUAACCCAGACCAAGCCCCAAGCCUGAUCAUUGGUCUCCCUGCUUCUGCCCUUGCUGCCCCACAGUCCAUUCUCUACACAGCAGUGAGGGGGAUUUUUUUGAAAAUGUAAGUCAGAUGAUAUGCUCCUUUUCCUGCUGUAGCAGUUAUGGAAGCAUGUUCAAAAGGGAACUCCCACCAACCCAGAUUGCUGAGGGACUGAUGAACAGAGCCGUCUCCCCUACAUCCACCUUGGAAAGUUCCUGUGAGUGAGAAUUAAAGACUGUUACUGCAGCAUAACUUAUCCUAUCCUGACUGAUACACUGAAUUCCUGCGGAUUUCUCAGGCGGGUAUUAUGUCCUCAGGUGAUUCCCAGAGAAAUCUGGGGCCCCAAAUGAUUUCCUUAACCACUGUGCUAGAAGGAGAAGGGAGCUGGCUGAGUGAGGCAUAGUGCUCAGAGGGUACCAUGAACAGACCUGCUUCUGUAUGCCUCGGGCAGGGGCACCACAUUGAUUAAAUAAAUCAAGCAGGCAGACUGCUCAGCAGUCAAGCAAUCUGUACCUUGACCAGGACUGGACAGGACUUCAGUCCCAACAGGGAAGGGGGCGGCUGGAGUACAAAAGCAGGGUGACUGUGUAGAAUUUGGGAAUACGAAUCAAUAGGAUGGGGGAGGCAGGUAGGGGGAAGGAGAGGAAGGGAAGAGGAAACAACUUAGAGGUAACAUAUGGGUCUGCAAGGGUGGCUCUUAGAGACACCUAAUCUCAUAUCAAAUUGGCAGCAAGGAGAACGAGGGACCAAUACAGGACCCCAGCUGCUGUCACAGGCUCUCCAGCUCCUGGGUCUGCAGAGGCUGAUGGGAUAUUCUCUGCUUCAGGCAGGGUUGGCUCAGUGGCUGGUAUGGUGAACCAAGCUGGCCAUAGGGAACCUGCCUGGGCGCAGCUGGGGGAAGCAGAGGUGGGAAAAAUGAGGGGGGCUUGCACAAUCAGAACAGCUGACAGUGAUCUAGAGCUUUUCACAUGCCAGGCGCUGCGGCAAGAACAUCACACACACUCUCUCUCCAUAAUCCUUACACAAACCCCAUAAAGUGAGUACUAUUUUAUCUCCACUUAGAGACAUUCAGUAACUUGCCUAAGAUCACACAGCUAGUAAAUGUCAGAGCCCUGAUUUAAAACUAGGAUGUAUCCUCCCUAACCUAUGCCUUUAACCACUUUAUUUUCUCUUCCUCCUACCCCUUGAAUUUAUGUAUUUGUUUUCCUUUCACCUGGUUUCUCAUUCCAUCCCAUUUCCUGCCACCUGCUCAAUUCCUUCUCACACUCCUCUACUUGACACACAAAAAAAUUUGAGUACGCCUUGACUUGUUAAUCGCUGUUAAUUUUUCUGUCAUCCACCUCGUGGCUCGAUAUCUCAGCAUUUCAGCUUUCCGUACAUUGACCACCAGCAGGUGACCCUUGUCUAUAACCACAGGAGACACCUCUGAGACAAGUAUAUGACAGCAGGGAAGCAGGAAGACUUUAGGAUUGGGUGACCUCACUGGGAAAGGAGACCAUGCAGACAGCAAAUCUGGGUCAAGGAAUCAGGCACUUGGGAGCUCUAAACACUCCUGGAGUGAGCUUGGUGGAAAUGAAUGUUUGGAAAAAGGAGGCUAAAGCUUCCCUGAGAGCAUAGGCUUUGAGGUUUGGGAAACACUUGGUAAGGGGAGGGGGGAGAAGUCCUAGCACUGACUCCCUCUGAUUAUUUGAAACUACUCGGGAUGAUGGACCUUUCCAGAGAGUCCGCUCUAAUCUCACAGAAAAGAAAGAGCAUGCGGUUGUUCUUAGAACAACGGGGUUCUGAUCUGGCCUUGCCAUUUACUGACUGCCCAGCCUUGGACAAGCCACGAUUACCUCUGGGGUACUCAGUUUACUCAUCUGCAAAAUGAAGACAAGGGUUUUAUACCUUCCUCAUAGAAAUGAUUUGUCAAGGAUCAAAUAACUCAACGACGUCUGUGAGGCACCUCAAACUCAAUGACACUAACCCCUUCCUCAAAGCUGCCCUCACUCCAGUGUUCUUUAUCUUGGUGAAGACCACCCCUUCCGACACUGUCACUGAAGUCACAAACCCUGUCGCCUCCCUGACUGAGGGCUGUCUCCAAACCCUCAAUUCCUUUGGUAUCUGUGAAUCUGUCCACUUUCUCUCCAGGGUCACCACCACCACUCUCAUCAAAACCAUGAUUUCUCUCUCAGACUAUCGUAAUAUCCUCCUAACUGGCUCUGCUCUUGCCCAUCCCCCUCCAGUCCACUCUCUGCACAGCAGUCAGAGGGAACAUUUUGAAAUCAAAAUCAGAUCAUGUUACUUCUCUGCUUCGAUAGCUUCCUGUUGUUCUUAGGAUAAAAUCUCAGGACUUCAUCCACAGCCCACAAGACCCCAUGGGACUGGCUACUCUUACAUGGCUCUCUUACUUCCUUGUGCUUCACCAUACUUGCCUCCUUGCAGUUCACUGAACGCACCAUGUUCCCUCCUGCCAUAAAGCCUUUGUACAUCGUGUUCUCCUUGCCUGCAAUACUUUCCCCAAGCCCCCUCCAGCUCUAGGCACCUUCCUAAUUGUUGGUUUCACCAGGAGAGAUUUCUUUGAUCUCCUGAGACUAAGGUCAACUCUUCCUGUUCUUCAUUUUAAAUUUGUUUGGGUGAUUAUUUGAUUAAUGCCCGCCUCUCCCACUAGAUUCUUAGCUCUCUCAAAGCAAGGGUCAUGGCUAUUUUUGCUCAUCGUGGUGCCCCCAAGCACCUGACACAGUACCUGGAACAUGGUACGUGUUUAAUCAGUAUUUGUUGAAUGAAUAAAUGAAUGUGGAUAUCCUUGAUACAUAGUAAAAAGCUGGGCAAAAAUAAGCCAGUGUUGCAGAAAUGGACAAACUGAUCUUAAAAUUCAUAUGGAAAUGCAAGGGACCCAGAAUAGUCAAAAUAAUCUUGGAAAAGAAAAACAAAGUUGGAGGAAUAACACUUCUCAAUUUCAACACUUACUACAAAGGUAUAGUAAUCAAACAAGGGUGGUACUGGCAUAAGAACACACACAUAGAUCAGUGAAAUAGAAUUGAGAGUCCAGAAACAAACCCACACACCUGUGGUCAAUGGAUAUUUGACGACAGUAUUAAUACCAUUCAAUGGGGGAAAGAACAAUCUCUUCAACAAAAGAUGCUGAGACAACAUGAGAUAUCCACAUGCAAAGGAAUGAAAUUAGAUCAUUACCUCACACCAUAUACAAAAACCAACUCAAAAUGGAUCAAAGACCUAAAUGUAAGAGCUAGACUAUAAAACUCUUAGAAGGUAACGUAAAUAUAAAUCAGUAUCUUUGGAUUAGAAACAACGGUUUCCCAUAUGACACCAAAAGGACGAGAAACCAAAAAAAAAAAAAAAAAAAGAUAAACUGGAAAUCAUCAAAAUUAAAAACUUUUGUACACCAAAGGACAUUAUCAAGAUGAUGCAAGGGCAACCAAGAGAAUGGGAGAAAAUAUUUACAAAUCACAUGUCUGACAAGGAGGGAUUCAUAUCAAGAAUACCUAAAUAAUGAUAAUUCCACAGCAAAAUAACAAACAAUCCAACUCAAAAAUGGGCAAAAGACUUGAAUAGGUGUUUCUUCAAAAACAUAUACAACGGCUACUAAGCACAUGAAAAAAUGCUCAGCAUCGUUAGUCAUUAGGGAAAUGCAAGUCAAAACCCUAAUUAGAUAUCACUUUACAGUCACUAGGAUGGCUGUAAAAAAAAACAAAAGAAGAAGAAGAAGGAAAAUACCAAGGAUAUAGAGAAACUGGAUGUAGGGAAAUAGUGAGAAUAUAGAGAAUUGGUAGCCUCAUAUAUUGCUGGUGGGAAUGUAAAAUGGUGCAUCCUCUGUGAAAAAGAGGCUGGCAGUUCUUUGGAAGGCUAAACAUAGUUACCAUAUGACCCAGAAAUUCCAUUCCUAGGUUUAUACCCAAGAGAAAUGAAAGCACAUGUUGAUGCAAAAUUUUGAGCAUGAGUGUUCAUAGCAGCGUUAUUCAUAAUGGCCAAA